ensembl:lncRNA
CAGGCUCCGAUGACUUUCCUGUUAUAUGCCAGCGCCAGAUGAGUUACAAUUCAACUGCCUCAUUUUGCAGCGCAUUCCUCAAGAGUUCACGUUGGGACGAGCGGCUUCGGAGGGGAGCGUCAACCCUUUAGUGCGAGCUCACGUGAUCCGCAGCAUAUGAGACCUGCCCAGGAAUGAAGAUUUGUUGGGACAGACACAUCAGGAUCUGAAGAGGAGAGUGGUGAAAAGGUGAAGGAAGUAGUGUGAUCCAGAAUCUCCUGAGGUUAAUACUUUGACACAAUGACAAUAUAUGACAAAUGUCUAUGCGGCUUAGGUGAUGUCAUGGCCUUGAAUGGGAUGUCAAAAUGCGCACAAUUGGAAUACAUUUGCGGUCCAACUCUCUCGUCAUAAACAAAGAAAAAUUGAAUUAAAAUGUAUGGUUUAAAUAUUGCAGAGCAGUUUCAAA